rnacentral:tRNA from 1 species
UAGGCCUUAAGUUAAACAAACUAAUAACCUUCAAAGCUAUAAAUAAAGGACGUCCUUUAGGCCUUG